GAGUUUGAUCGUGGCUCAGAUUGAACGCUGGCGGCAUGCCUUACACAUGCAAGUCGAACGGCAGCAUGAUCUAGCUUGCUAGAUUGAUGGCGAGUGGCGAACGGGUGAGUAAUACAUCGGAACGUGCCUGUAGUGGGGGAUAACUAGUCGAAAGAUUAGCUAAUACCGCAUACGACCUGAGGGUGAAAGUGAGGGACCGCAAGGCCUCAUGCUAUAGGAGCGGCCGAUGUCUGAUUAGCUAGUUGGUGGGGUAAAGGCCCACCAAGGCGACGAUCAGUAGCUGGUCUGAGAGGACGAUCAGCCACACUGGGACUGAGACACGGCCCAGACUCCUACGGGAGGCAGCAGUGGGGAAUUUUGGACAAUGGGCGAAAGCCUGAUCCAGCAAUGCCGCGUGUGUGAAGAAGGCCUCGGUU
rnacentral:rRNA from 1 species